rnacentral:tRNA from 1 species
AUGGUGGUGGCUCAGUGGUAGAGCACUUGUCUAGAAUGUGUGAGGCACUGGGUUCAAUCCCUGGCACCACA